UACGGGGGGAGCAAGCGUUGUUCGGAUUCAUUGGGCGUAAAGGGUGCGUAGGCGGCGCGGUAAGUCGGGUGUGAAAUCUUGGAGCUUAACUCCGAAACUGCAUUCGAUACUGCCGUGCUUGAGGACUGGAGAGGAGACUGGAAUUUACGGUGUAGCGGUGAAAUGCGUAGAUAUCGUAAGGAAGACCAGUGGCGAAGGCGGGUCUCUGGACAGUUCCUGACGCUGAGGCACGAAGGUCAGGGGAGCAAACGGG
rnacentral:rRNA from 1 species